UACGUAGGGCGCAAGCGUUGUCCGGAAUUAUUGGGCGUAAAGAGCUCGUAGGCGGCUUAUCACGUCGGUUGUGAAAGCCCGGGCUUAACCCCGGGUCUGCAGUCGAUACGGGCAGGCUAGAGUGUGGUAGGGGAGAUCGGAAUUCCUGGUGUAGCGGUGAAAUGCGCAGAUAUCAGGAGGAACACCGGUGGCGAAGGCGGAUCUCUGGGCCAAUUACUGACGCUGAGGAGCGAAAGCGUGGGGAGCGAACAGG
rnacentral:rRNA from 1 species